rnacentral:rRNA from 1 species
GUUGGGUAACACUAACUGGAGGACCGAACCGACUAAUGUUGAAAAAUUAGCGGAUGACUUGUGGCUGGGGGUGAAAGGCCAAUCAAACCGGGAGAUAGCUGGUUCUCCCCGAAAGCUAUUUAGGUAGCGCCUCGUGAAUUCAUCUCCGGGGGUAGAGCACUGUUUCGGCAAGGGGGUCAUCCCGACUUACCAACCCGAUGCAAACUGCGAAUACCGGAGAAUGUUAUCACGGGAGACACACGGCGGGUGCUAACGUCCGUCGUGAAGAGGGAAACAACCCAGACCGCCAGCUAAGGUCCCAAAGUCAUGGUUAAGUGGGAAACGAUGUGGGAAGGCCCAGACAGCCAGGAUGUUGGCUUAGAAGCAGCCAUCAUUUAAAGAAAGCGUAAUAGCUCACUGGUCGAGUCGGCCUGCGCGGAAGAUGUAACGGGGCUAAACCAUGCACCGAAGCUGCGGCAGCGACACUAUGUGUUGUUGGGUAGGGGAGCG